ACGAUACGGGACUCAUCCGAGGCCCCGUAAUCGGAAUGAGUACACUUUAAAUCCUUCAACGAGGAUCCAUUGGAGGGCAAGUCUGGUGCCAGCAGCCGCGGUAAUUCCAGCUCCAAUAGCGUAUAUUAAAGUUGUUGCGGUUAAAAAGCUCGUAGUUGAAUCUGUGUGCCACGCUGUCGGUUCAUCGCUCGCGAUGUUUAACUGACAUGAUUGUGGGACGUCCUACCGGUGGACUUAGCCCUUCGGGGCGGUCCAGCUAAUAUCCCAUCGCGGUGCUCUUUAUCGAGUGUCGAGGUGGGCCGGUACGUUUACUUUGAACAAAUUAGAGUGCUCAAAGCAGGCUAUGUUCGCCUGAAUACUGUGUGCAUGGAAUAAUGGAAUAGGACCUCGGUUCUAUUUUGUUGGUUUUCGGAACCCCGAGGUAAUGAUUAAUAGGGACAGAUGGGGGCAUUCGUAUUGCGACGUUAGAGGUGAAAUUCUUGGAUCGUCGCAAGACGGACAGAAGCGAAAGCAUUUGCCAAAAAUGUUUUCAUUAAUCAAGAACGAAAGUUAGAGGUUCGAAGGCGAUCAGAUACCGCCCUAGUUCUAACCAUAAACGAUGCCAGCUAGCGAUCCGCCGAUGUUCCUUCUAUGACUCGGCGGGCAGCUUCCGGGAAACCAAAGCUUUUGGGUUCCGGGGGAAGUAUGGUUGCAAAGCUGAAACUUAAAGGAAUUGACGGAAGGGCACCACCAGGAGUGGAGCCUGCGGCUUAAUUUGACUCAACACGGG
rnacentral:rRNA from 1 species